GCCUCACUAGUAACAUGUAAUUGUUCUACUAGUGAGCCUGAUUCACUCUACUAGUGCGCAGAAAUGCCAUAGUGUAGUAGAAGACAGUAGUGGCAACAAAUUACUUGUAAGACAGUUGUCUACUAGUGUGGGGCAUUGUCUUACUCGGGAGGACUUGUUAACCACUGAGGCAAAACUGUGCACUAGUUGACACUGUGCGCUACUAGGACUUCUAGUGAAGUGCAAGAUGUCGAUGAGUAGAAUUUUAUAAAGACACUUGUAGUACUAGGACCUCGUAGUUUUCAACUAGCACACAUUGUUGCCUCAUGAGUAACAUGUAGAUGUUCUACUAGUGGACAGAAACGCCACACAGUAGUGAAAGACAGUCAUGGGAAAAACGUCAUCAGUAAGACAUACUCAUUCUGCUACUGUGCCCGAGUCUUUCCGCUAGUGCGCUGAACUGUACAUAGCCUACUAGUAGGCUCUUUGUCCUCACUAGUAAGAUAAUUCAGCACACUAGUAGAACAAUUAUGUCUUACUAGUGUUUUUUCCCCCACUACUGGGGCGCACAAGUAAAACAUGAUACUAGUUAGGCAAAACGGUACACUAGUUGACAACUGUGUUCUACUAUUACUACUAGUGACAUUAAAUUGAACUAGUUAACAUUUAUACGAGAAACAAAUUAUUUGAGUUACGAGUGUGGUCCCAGUAUAAAUUAAACUUGUAAGUCAAGGCACCACUGUAUUUUGCUCAAGGAUACUUUGACCUUGUCACUGGGAACUUAGGAAAGGCGCAGGAAACAAAUGGAACUGAAUUAAAAGCCACGCCAGGAUGCAUGUAGAUGUUGGCAGUGUGGCUGCGGGUGCUUGGCAUGAAGGUGUUACAGCUUCACUUCCAUGUUAAUUUUAUGGUCUGAGUGUGAAGUAUGAGCACGUCCAGCAUAUGAAGCCUCGCGCACCGCUGGCUUGCUCACAUAUGAGCAUGAAUGCAAACGCAAAGUCAGUCAAGUAGCCGUUUAUGCACUUCAAGUCUGAGAGGAGCGAUGGCACCGACCAGGAUGGAAACCAAACCGCUCAUCUUGUGUGUGAAGAUCCUGCUACUCUUCUACUCCUUCAUCUUCUGGGUGACAGGUGUGAUCCUACUCGCAGUGGGCUUAUGGUGGAGGUUCAUGUUGAGUCCCUACACAUUGUUGAUCUCCAGCGCACCGUCCAACGCGCCAUUUGUCCUCACCGGCACCGGCGUUGCCAUUGUGCUCUUCGGCCUGUUCGGCUGCUUUGCCACCUGCAGGGGGCGCCCUUGGAUGCUCAAACUGUACGCAGUCUUUCUGGCUUUGGUCUUCCUGAUCGAGCUCAUCGCUGGAAUCUCAGGCUUCAUCUUUCGCCACGAGAUCAAAGGCACAUUCCUCACCACGUACAGCGAGGCUGUGCUCAAAUACGACGGACGAAGCGACAGGAGUGUGGCUGUGGAUGAUGUCCAACGCAAAUUGCAAUGUUGCGGCGUUCAUAACUAUACCACCUGGUUCGCCAGCGACUCCUUCCCAACUGGGGGAAUCCCGGUCAGCUGCUGUGUUACUUUCUCCGACUGCAAACAAGCAGACUUGAGGAACGCCACUCUGGCAGCUCGCAAAGUCCACAAGCAGGGUUGUUAUGAGCUGGUGACCUCCUUCAUCGAGAGCAACAUGGGAAUCAUCGCUGGGGUCACCUUCGGGAUCGCCUUCUCCCAGCUCAUCGGCAUGUCGUUGGCCUGCUGUCUGUCUCACUUUAUCAACGCUAACCAGUACGAGAUGGUCUGAAGAAGGAACGUCUGUGCAAUCACAUGCAGCAAAACACGGAUGAGCUUGUGUCAGCAGUCUUCCUUCAGCAUCACAACCUCAUCAUCUUCUACCCCAGGGAAGGAGAUCAUUCUCAGGCUGCCUGAUGUCCCACACCAUCUAGGGCACUGCUGAAGAAGGAGGAAGAGUCACCAGUCUGCGCUGGCAUCCUCUUUCUCAUCCUCCUCAUCUCUUGCUGCAUGUUGGAAGGUGCACAGCUACUUAUCCUCUAAAUAGCAUUAGUGAGCUAACUUUAGACCACCAUAAUACAGACGUGAUGUGACUCCUCCGACGCUCAUCAUUGAGUGUGUUGUUGUGUUGAGCAGCAGCGAGAGGUUCUACUUUAAAUGGACUCAGUGUGCUUCUUACAAUGUUUAAAAUAAGCACACAAAGUAACUGUCUGAUGGAGCCACAGAGCUAAAACAUUGUUUGCGUUAACAACCACUUUAAAAAACCAUGACUAUUACUUGCAAGAUACAGCCCAGUGGCUUCAUUAGGCGUCGUUAUUUUAGGGGGGCUUCAUUCCCCUUAAAAUAGUCUAAAAGGAUUUGGUUGUAUAUAUAUAUAUUUUUUUUUACUUUUUUUUUAAACUAAAAAAAAUCUUGAAUUAUAGGGGCUAAACCACUUCUUGGGAUUGCCCCCCCCCCCCCCCCCCCCCCC